GAAUGUCUGCAUCUGGGUUGACAUGCUUCUCUCCGAGAUUUCCUUAUCCAAAACACUGCAAUACUUCAUCCAAUUCUUUUGUAAUCCGAGUGUUUUCACCUGAUCAGAAAAAUGGCACAUUCAGGCGAAAACUCAAACUUUCAUUUCGUCCCUCUGAUUAUUCAGAUAAGUAUGUACAGAUGAUUUAUGGAUUCACUAAGCAUUGUUGGUGUAUUUAUUCAAAUUAAGAUAAGUUUAUUUUGCUCUUUUUUUAUUGCAGAAAAUAUAGACCUGCAUUUCAACACACACCGAGAGUUUCGAUGGAUGCCUCCUUUGGAAAUCUGGCUGAUGAUUCAGAUGGUAAAUCUUCAAAGAUUCAUUAGCAAUUUAGCAUUAUAAUUAAUUAAUUAUCCAUAUUCUAUAUUAAACUUCAAAGAAUAAUAAUUCGAGAUAAUUCCGUGGUCUUCCAUGCAAUAUUAGAUCUUCUUUUCCCAUUGGUGUAUUACUGUAUAUGUAUAUUUCAAAGGUCUGAACUCUGAAGACUUCAAUAUGAAUACCACUUAGUGACUUUUUUGUGUUGGAUGAUCAACAUUUUCUGCGAUGUCAGCAAUAAUAUUUGCCGUGAUUAUGUAUUUGUUUUUCUUUGUUGCAUUUUGUGCUAUUUAUUCUCUAUCUCUCAAUGUGGGAAGUUGGUUGUGGCAAGGUUUAAAAACCGACGGUUAACCGGCUGACCGGUAGAUUAGUUCUAACCGAUAACCGGUUAGUAAUAUUUGGGUAGGAUCCGACCCGAAUACCUGACCCGUUUAAAAUUUUAAUUUCAUUUACUAUCUAGAAAACUAAAACUUCAUUUCUAUUACAAGUUUACUACUCUGUUUGAAUUUGAAUUUCUAUUACUACUAUGUUUGGAUUUCUGUCACUACUAUGUUUGAAUUUCUAUCACUAUUUUCUUUGAAUUUGUUAUCUUUUAGACUAUUACUAUUAUAAUUUAAACUUUAAAGUUUAAACAGGGUUUUUAUAUAGAUAAGAUAUUAUCUUCAAAAUUGUAAAAUUACGAGAAUACCUCUACCGGUUACCCACUGGUUAACUGGAUCUCCAGGUAGAUCUGGGUUUUAGCAAAAUUGCAGCUUCCUAUCCUCACCCUCGUCUUCAAGCUUUCAUACCUCUCCUCUAGAAUGUAGAAACCAUGUUCAGCCUAUUUGUGAUGGUGAAUGGUUCUGGCUUCUACAACCUCUAUUAUCCUUUCCAGCCUUUUCUUGCUAGCUUGAAGAACUUCUAGAUAACUUUUUCUGGUUUGAACCUGGGUCAGAUGAACUCUGUCUAGUUAUUUCUUCUAAGGUUUUUUUUGAAUAACACAAGUUUGUUAUUUACCAAAUGAUCAACCUUUUGUGCAUAUAAGAAAUGAAGUGUCUAUUAUCAUUAAUAUGAUUGCUAUUUCAAGCCUUGAAAGCACCUCUCUAAUGUUUUGCAUUAAUGACG
rnacentral:lncRNA from 1 species